rnacentral:rRNA from 1 species
UACAGAGGGGGCAAGCGUUGUUCGGAUUUACUGGGCGUAAAGGGCGCGUAGGCGGCGCAACAAGUCACUUGUGAAAUCUCCGGGCUUAACCCGGGAGCGGUCAAGUGAUACUGUCGUGCUAGAGUGCGGAAGGGGCUACUGGAAUUCUCGGUGUAGCGGUGAAAUGCGUAGGAUAUCGAGAGGAACACCUGCGGCGAAGGCGGGUAGCUGGGCCGACACGUGACGGCUGGAUGCGCGAAAGCCAGGGGAGCGAACGGG